UGCCAAGCAACUCCUAUCCCUACCUCCUCGCGGUACUGGCCGGGGUACGAGUAACCUUAGGGAAGAUCGGGUAACCAACCCCCGGUGGGAACUUUGGUCGUAUGCUGACAGGGAAGG
rfam:Aedes aegypti strain Liverpool supercont1.794 genomic scaffold, whole genome shotgun sequence.